CGGUGAUGAAAGCAACUUUUCGCCUUCGCGUUUGUCACUAUCCAGCAGGCUCCUCGUGUCUCUUGCAAGCAGCAACACUUUCACGGAGGUCUUCUCUUGCGCUCCUGAGACUCCUAUGUAUUCCAAUGGUUCUUGUAAACUGUGGUCAGCACUCUAAUAAACAAUAAUCCGUAUA